ncrna:unclassified sequences ROOL RNA
GAUUUUAAACAAUCUACUAAAUAACCAAGUGAAGAUAGGGUGACACCUUGCUUGGAUUGCAUACAUAAUUCCCGUUGCACUUUUUGUGAGAUAUUGCAAGAAGAUAAGUAAUUCUCUUUUGAGUAAUCAGAAGAGGUCAUGGAGUGUAAGAAGAUUGAGGGUGUAUGCAGUAUAGAGGUUGUGCGUAAUUAGAUCAUUAUCAGACGGUGGCAGUGACAAUAGACGCUUCCAGUGGAAGAAUAAUCUAGCAAGGCCUUAUGUAGCAGUAAGAACCAAACUAGAAAAGCUAUAAUAAACUGUUUUGCACUUGAGGUUGAGAUAUCAGCCAAUAACACUAAAGAUAAGUACAAGUAGCCCAAAGUGUGCAGAGGAUUUACAAGAUAUAUUGUGCUAAAAUAUUAAUCUGAAUGUCGGGUGAAAGUUGGACGUAACCAGUCGUGCCUAGUCAUUUAACCGCUACGGAAGUUAUAGGGUCGCUCCUUAUGGCUCAGACCGUGGUAGACUAUCGGUCAAUAAAUUGCGUACAAUCGAAGUAGAGCGAAGGCUCAUUUAAUAGAUUGUUUAAAG